GUAGUCAACCUACCCUGGAGACGCGGACAAACCCGGGAAACUGGGGCUAAUCCGCGAUAGAUGACCUCAUCUGGAAGGAGAGGUCGUCCAAAGGGCGGCACGGGUAUGCUCCGUGCCUUUCGCUCCAGGAUGGGACUGCGGCCGAUCAGGCUGUUGGCGGGGUAAUGGCCCACCAAACCUGUAACCGGUACGGGCUUUGAGAGAAGGAGCCCGGAGAUGGACACUGAGACAAGGGUCCAGGCCCUACGGGGCGCAUCAGGCGCGGAACCUUCGCAAUGCGCGAAAGCGUGACGAGGCUAGUCCGAGUGCUUCCUGCUAAAGGGAGCUUUUCUCGGCUGUAAAUAGGCCGGGGAAUAAGGGGAGGGCAAGUCUGGUGUCAGCCGCCGCGGUAAUACCAGCUCCUCGAGUGGUCGGGACGAUUAUUGGGCCUAAAGCACCCGUAGCCGGUUCCGUAAGUCUUCUGUCAAAUCCAACCGCCCAACGGUUGGCCCGCAGAGGAUACUGCGGGACUAGGAGGCGGGAGAGGCGGACGGUACUCCGCGUGUAGGGGUAAAAUCCUUUGAUCCGCGGAAGACCACCAGUGGCGAAGGCGGUCCGCCAGAACGCGCUCGACGGUGAGGGGUGAAAGCUGGGGGAGCGAACCGGAUUAGAUACCCGGGUAGUCCCAGCCGUAAACGAUGCGAGCUAGAUGAUUCGAUCGCAAUACGCGUUCGAAGUGUCGCAGGGAAGCCGUUAAGCUCGCCGCCUGGGGGAGUACGGUCGCAAGGCUGAAUCGCGAGAAGGGAAACUUUCUCGCGCAGUUCACUUAAAGGAAUUGGCGGGGGAGCACCACAAGGGGUGAAGCCUGCGGUUCAAUUGGAUUCAACGCCG
rnacentral:rRNA from 1 species